AUAUUCGGGUUAUUCUGCAGAUCGUAUAAAUCUUUCGCCUUUUACUAAAGAUUUCCUUGGAGAGGAACAACAACAACAACAACAACAACAAAUAUGGGAGAAAAAGAAAUGAAUUUCUU